UACAGAGGUCUCAAGCGUUGUUCGGAUUCAUUGGGCGUAAAGGGUGCGUAGGCGGCGUGGUAAGUCGGGUGUGAAAUCUCGGAGCUUAACUCCGAAACUGCAUUCGAUACUGCCGUGCUUGAGGACUGGAGAGGAGACUGGAAUUUACGGUGUAGCGGUGAAAUGCGUAGAUAUCGUAAGGAAGACCAGUGGCGAAGGCGGGUCUCUGGACAGUUCCUGACACUGAGACACGAAAGGCCAGGGGGAGCAAAACGGG
rnacentral:rRNA from 1 species